rnacentral:rRNA from 1 species
CCUACGGGAGGCAGCAGUAGGGAAUCUUCCACAAUGGGCGCAAGCCUGAUGGAGCAACACCGCGUGAGUGAAGAAGGGUUUCGGCUCGUAAAGCUCUGUUGUUGAAGAAGAACGUGCAUGAGAGUAACUGUUCAUGCAGUGACGGUAUUCAACCAGAAAGUCACGGCUAACUACGUGCCAGCAGCCGCGGUAAUACGUAGGUGGCAAGCGUUAUCCGGAUUUAUUGGGCGUAAAGAGAGUGCAGGCGGUUUCUUAAGUCUGAUGUGAAAGCCUUCGGCUCAACCGAAGAAGUGCAUCGGAAACUGGGAGACUUGAGUACAGAAGAGGGCAGUGGAACUCCAUGUGUAGCGGUGGAAUGCGUAGAUAUAUGGAAGAACACCAGUGGCGAAGGCGGCUGCCUGGUCUGUAACUGACGCUGAGACUCGAAAGCAUGGGUAGCGAACAGGAUUAGAUACCCCAGUAGUC